GGUUUUCUGUAGACCCGGAAGCGGAUCGCGGGGAGUGAAGGCUGCGCCGCCGAGCCUGAGUUUCGCUCUCUCUAGAUUAAAUCUGCGCUUCGCAGUCCCCCUUCUUCCAUCCCCCGGGUCUGGAGGGGUCCCUACAGAUCUUAAAAUGACCACACCGCGCCCUCCACCCCAGAUUAACCUUUAAAGACUCAUGUGGCCUGAGGAAGAAGUCCAGAAGAGAAGAAAGAGGAGACAGGGAUGGCUCUUUCUCAAGGAAGGUUGACAUUCAGGGACGUGGCCAUCGAAUUCUCUCAGGAGGAGUGGAAAUGCCUGGACCCUGCUCAGAGGGCUUUGUACAGGGACGUGAUGUUGGAGAACUACAGGAACCUGGUCUCCCUGGGAAUCUCUCUUUCUGAAAUGAGUAUUACCUCCAUGUUGGGGCAAGGGAAAGAGCCCUGGACUGUGGAGAGUGAAGUGAAAAUAACAAAAACAUCAAGUGGUUGGGAAUGCAUCAAAGGUGUGAACACAGAAACAACUUCAAGUUCCUAAUGAACAUCACCAAAGAGAUAUUUGGAGUGUUAUGUAGAGGCCGUUCUAUUUCCAAGAUCCGUGAAGACAGACUGUGGCUCUUAUGGAGGAAGCAGAAAAUGCUGAGGUCUGAACACCUGAUGGACAGUAAUGCUGAAAAUCUUUGUAUUUGCCUAUUGGGUUUGUGGAUCUGCUUCAGUGAAAUGUUCUUAAAUAUC
rnacentral:lncRNA from 1 species